rnacentral:rRNA from 1 species
GUGGGGAAUAUUGGACAAUGGGCGAAAGCCUGAUCCAGCCAUGCCGCGUGUGUGAAGAAGGUCUUCGGAUUGUAAAGCACUUUAAGUUGGGAGGAAGGGCAGUAAGUUAAUACCUUGCUGUUUUGACGUUACCGACAGAAUAAGCACCGGCUAACUUCGUGCCAGCAGCCGCGGUAAUACGAAGGGUGCAAGCGUUAAUCGGAAUUACUGGGCGUAAAGCGCGCGUAGGUGGUUUUGUAAGUUGGAGGUGAAAUCCCCGGGCUCAACCUGGGAACUGCCUCCAAAACUACUGAGCUAGAGUACGGUAGAGGGUAGUGGAAUUUCCUGUGUAGCGGUGAAAUGCGUAGAUAUAGGAAGGAACACCAGUGGCGAAGGCGACUACCUGGACUGAUACUGACACUGAGGUGCGAAAGCGUGGGGAGCAAACAGGAUUAGAUACCCCUGUAGUCC